UGGGGAAUAUUGCGCAAUGGCCGAAAGGCUGACGCAGCGACGCCGCGUGUGGGAUGAAGGUCCUCGGAUUCGUAAACCACUGUCGGGAGGGACGAAGGCCCCGCAAGGGGAUUGACGGUACCUCCAAAGGAAGCACCGGCUAACUCCGUGCCAGCAGCCGCGGUAAUACGUAGGGUGCAGGCGUUAAUCGGAAUUACUGGGCGUAAAGCGUGCGCAGGCGGUUUCUUAAGUCAGAUGUGAAAGCCCCGGGCUUAACCUGGGAACUGCGUUUGAAACUGGGAGACUCGAGUGUGGCAGAGGGGGGUGGAAUUCCACGUGUAGCAGUGAAAUGCGUAGAUAUGUGGAGGAACACCGAUGGCGAAGGCAGCCCCCUGGGUCAACACUGACGCUCAUGCACGAAAGCGUGGGGAGCAAACAGGAUUAGAUACCCUGGUAGUCCACGCCCUAAACUAUGUCAACUGGUUGUCGGGGGAUUAAUUCCCUUGGUAACGAAGCUAACGCGUGAAGUUGACCGCCUGGGGAGUACGGCCGCAAGGUUA
rnacentral:rRNA from 1 species